CUUCAGGAUUUUUCCGCUCUUACGUAAGCCACUGCCUGUGUAUGCAUUGCCUGACCCUCUCUGCAUCAUCUGGUGGAUAUUGGGGCUUGAGGACAAAAGCUGACACUCCAAGUACCCAUGGCUCAUUUCUCCAUCAAGUCUGUGUUCAAACUUAAACUUCUUGUAGAUGCUUAAAAACCCAUUAAUUUGAGACUAUCAUCAUCGCAAUCUUUAUCCCCCUUACCAUGCUCACUUCUCCCCCCCACCCAGUGCUUAUCACAUUUUCCAUGUAUCAUUUGCUUCCUUAUUUUAUUGUUCAUCAUCUUUCUCCCUCAUCUUCUUGGAGACAGAGAUCUUUUCCUUUUUAGCUCACCCAGGUAUUCCUAGUGUCUAAAACAGUGUCUGACACAUAGCAGAUGCUCAGUAACUGUGAAAACAAUGAGUAGAUUCACCUUUUAUUCUAUUCUACUACCAGCUUGUUUUAAUUCUGCCAUGAAAAUUCUCUAUGCACAUUAAAGUUUUGAAAAUUCAUUCAAAACAAAAUAGGUGUCAAAUGAAUUUCUGGUAUUAUUUUUAUUUUUCACUGAUUACAUUUUACACAUUUGACAAAGCUUGAAAUAAGUGUAUGGUCAUGAAUAGAAAUUUCUACUUUCUUCCCCUCUGUUCCAUGCAUGUUGAUCCCAAGGGCACUUUUUCAUGAAUAUUCUGCCUGCUAAACUCCAUCUAAGAAUUUCCUUCACAGGAAACCCGAACUGACCAGAGAUACUCAAUAUCAGGAAGGUUUUGAGAAAGCAGGUCUAAGAUGGGUUUUGGAACUGCAUUACGCACUGCCUGCUGGCAAAGAGGACCCAUAGCUGGUAGAAGGUAGAAUGCAGGUAGCCCCCUGAAUCAUCAAAUUGUUAAAAAUUUUACCAGUAGUGAGUUGGUAUGUAUGCAAGUGAAAGGCUGAAUCAACUGGUGUAAUGAACCACAAGUGUGAGAAAUAUGGGAGAAAUAGUAAGUUUAGGGACAGUGAGAUGCUAAAAUGACUCAGCCCUUCCUAUUCAAACGAGCUGCUCUUUUGUGCUUUGAGUUAAUAAAGAGGUUUCUCCUAAGCAAGAUAACAUGUUCCUUUUUCAGGAUCGAUUCCUAUUCCCCACUUAGUCCCUGAGUCUAUAGCUUGGCUUAAAUCACAGAAUAGCCUGGCUGGAGAAUGUGGUGCACCUGAUAGCAGAGGAAAAUGACUCUAUCCCAAAGGACAUGCAGGACCUUUCCAGUGCUGACAAAAGGCCGGAAAGUAUGUGUGUUGGAUUAAACUCAGGGUAUUGGAUCAAGAGGGCCAGUGCAUAAAGUUGGAUAAAGGAGAGUUUGACAACUUGAGAUCACUCUCCCAGAAUACUGGAUUUAACACUUAGAUAAUGACCCUGGGAGAUGGUACAAGUUUCUUAAUAGUAUGUCUUCUAGAAGCAUGGGAUAAGUGAGGUUGAGGUGGCCUGUGCUAACUGAAGUUUGAAUAGCAGAUAUGGCUUUAAGGCAGAGACUAGAAACAUGUUUAAAGGUUCAGGGAAGCAUGUAGACUAUGUAAGGCCAAAAGACAUGCCUUUUGGUGAUUAUGUGCCACUGGAAGUCCCUGAGGUUGUACAUUUACCAAAGCUAUAAAGAAUGCUGUUAGGAGGGACACUAGCAUCACUGAGACUAGUGGUGUUGUUUCUCUUAAGGACAAGGCUGAUGAUGAAAGUGAACUAGGAUUACUAAUAGCAAAAAGGUUGAUAGACUUGGAAAAACAGAGGUGACUUGAUGGGGUUAUCUGUGGGAAGUCAGGUAGAUGCAAUUUUCAUAUUUAAUGACAAAGUAGAAGGAGAAACAGAACUUAAAAAAUUUGAUAGAACACAAAGACCCUAGGAACAAAAUGAGUGAUCAGUAAACAAAGACACAUUCAAUUUGUAACAUCAAAAGAAACUAAAUGUAGAUGAUUAUGAGUUCAAGGGCAAUUGUCUAAUUUUCUUCCCAAUUUCUAUUUCUGAGCCAGUUUUUGGAUCCAGAGUCCACUGAUUAAAGAAAAAUCUGCCUUCCUUGGAAUAAUGGCCCUGAAAGAUUAUGGCACGUAUACUGAUUAAAGGUUCCCAUCCUUCCUCAAAGGGACUUAUGGCUAUUUACUUGGAUAGAAUUGUACAGUAGGUGCAGGUGAAUGCACAAACAUUUCAAAGACUACAAUGCACAGAAUCUGAGUUAUCACUAACAAGUGGAACCUGAGAGCGUCAUCAUAAGCUUCUGCUAGAAAGCUGGUGCAUAUGGGACAAGUGACCAGCUCCCAUCCAGAAGGCCAUCAAAAGUCAACUUAUUAGAACAAAAGACUCUGCUGUCACCCAGGAAAUCCCAAAGGAAUUAGGAGCCUUGUGUCAGAAACUGUGCCAAAGACCAAAUGUAAGAACGAAAGAUGCUCCUAGUGCCUUUUUUUGAGACUUAUUUUACAUAUAGUUUAGAUUCAGUGCCGUUGCAUGUUUGAUGUUUUUUGUUUUUUUUAAUUUUUAUAUAAAUUUUAUACAAGCAAAUAAAUAGGGAGUUUCCAUCAUGGCUCAGUGUUAGCAAAUCCAACUAGGAUUCAUGAGGAUGCAGAUUUGACCCCUGUCCAACCUCAGUGAUUUAAGGAUCCUGCAUUGCUGGGAGCUGUAGUUGCAGCUUUGGCUCAGAUCCACCAUUACCGUGGCUGUCUAGCCUGGGAACUUCCACAUGCCUGGGGUGUGGCCCUAAAAAGCCUGAUGAGCUCCAAGGUGGUGACUAAGAGACUGCCAUGUGGUAAGUACUCAGUGCAUAUUUUACAAAUCAUCAAAUGAAUAAAGUCAAUUAGGUGUAAAGGCAUUUCAAGAAGGAGGAACUACAUGGAAAACCCUGAAAGUUUGAGAUUGCAUAGUUAUUUGAUGUAACUCUAAGUAGUUCAAUGGAAUUAGCUACACUAAAGAAUAUUAACGUUGGUCAAUAUAUGAAGGAAAUCAUUUAAAUUGGCUAAUAUGUGUAACUACUCAGAAUAAAGCCUUGCAUGUUGGACCUAUUCUCUGGGUUGAUGGGUAGUGGCUAAGCAGGUCUCAGUUUCCCAGAGGCUGAUAAGCCCUGGUUUCUCCAGCCUCUGACUUGUGAAUCAGCUGGAGAGAAUACAGCAGAGAGGAUAGGGGCUCACAUCCUGAAGACAGUUGGCCAUACGCAGCAGAGUGUGUGUAAGCAGAGAGAGAUUUUAGUGGUUGUGGAACAGGUCUGUAAUCCUGCCUCUCCACUAGACAGCCAGGUAGGAUUAGACAGGUAGGCUUUGGAUUUCCCAGAGACUCAUUAUGAUUUGUAAUACAAGUUUAGUUAAUGAAAUGGUGAGAAAAAUAUCUCCUGCAUCUGUUUUGGUGAAUUUCUUUCAUUUUUCUAAAUAAUAUGAACCAAUGUACUAUCUUUGACGAAUACCAUUUGCAUUGUGGAAGGGAGUAAUUUGUUUAUCAGAUAUAGAGCAAAUCAGCAUCUCUCUCAGGCUAGAGGUGGACUGUUUUCUAGCAGGUGGAAACUAGCAUACCUAACAUCUAUGCUGGGCUAUCCCCCAGGUCCACUCUUUUCUCUUGCCCUGCAGCACUGGCCUCUGUAGGCCGAUUGCCCAGGCUUCAGGGGCAGCAAACCUGCAGCUGACUGCAGCCAAUGGGAGGUGCUGCUGGAAAGUGCAGGGUGAUAUUGGGGCUGGCAAAGGGGUGGUUAAGCAGGAGAUGAAAACACUGGAGUGUUUUCCCUCCUUCUCUUUCUCCUCCUGGUGCAGUUCUAAGGUGGGGACAGUGCCUUCUCUGUGGCUCCAGCUCUCAGUGGGAAGUCCUUGCCCCCAGUGAACAGUCCCUGCCAUGAUUCCAGCUUCAUGGGGAUGUGAUUCUGGCUCUUGCCCUCCGCUAACGGUCCCUCUUCUCUUUGUCUCUCCUGCCUAUGGGUGGUAAUAGCUUCAUGUUGGUCCUAAUACCUGGAAUUACUCACCAUCACCUAUUUGGCUUUCUAGCCAUCCAUCGUCCAUGUAGAAAAGACAUCUCUGUAAAAGAGUCCUUCUGUUGUAAAUACUUUUUGAGGACUCUUUCUGAUUAUGGCCUCAUUGAUAAAAUAUCCUAUAAAACAACAUAAAAAAAGACAUCUUUUCUUUUCCUUAAGUUGCACCAACAGGACCACAAAACUUUGUCUAAUCAUAACAGAAUUAGUCUUUACUACCUUAUAAGUCUGAUUUUGGGGAGUUGAGUAGAUUCUGCUAUACUGUAUUUUCAAUAGCUAGGCAUCCUUAGGAAGAAUAAUUGGAACUACAGGAAUGGAGGAGUUCCCUUUGUGGCUCAGCAGUAACAAACCUGACUAGCAUCAAUGAGGAUGUGGGUCCAAUCCCUGGCCCUGCUCAGUGGGUUAAGAUCUGGUGUUGCUGUGAGCUGUAGUGUCGGUCGCAGACACGGCUCAGAUUUAGUGUGGAUGUGGCUGGGGCAUAGGCUGGCAGCUAUAGUUCUGAUUCAAUCCCUAGCCUGGGAACUUCCAUAUGCCACAGAUACAGCCCCUAAAACGCAAAAAAAAGAAAAAAAA
rnacentral:lncRNA from 1 species